rnacentral:rRNA from 1 species
UACGUAGGGACCAAGCGUUGUUCGGAUUUACUGGGCGUAAAGGGCGCGUAGGCGGCAUGACAAGUCACUUGUGAAAUCUCCGGGCUUAACUCGGAAAGGUCAACUGAUACUGCGGGGCUAGAGUGCGGAAGGGGCAACUGGAAUUCUCGGUGUAGCGGUGAAAUGCGUAGAUAUCGAGAGGAACACCUGCGGCGAAGGCGGGUUGCUGGGCCGACACUGACGCUGAGGCGCGAAAGCCAGGGGAGCGAACGGG